rnacentral:rRNA from 1 species
UACAGAGGGUGCGAGCGUUAAUCGGAUUUACUGGGCGUAAAGCGUGCGUAGGUGGUUCGUUAAGUCUGAUGUGAAAGCCCUGGGCUCAACCUGGGAAUGGCAUUGGAAACUGGCGACCUAGAGUGCGGUAGAGGGUAGUGGAAUUCCCGGUGUAGCAGUGAAAUGCGUAGAGAUCGGGAGGAACAUCCGUGGCGAAGGCGACUACCUGGACCAGCACUGACACUGAGGCACGAAAGCGUGGGGAGCAAACAGG